CAGGUGUGGUGGUGGGCACCUGUAAUCCCAGCCACUCAGGAGGCUGAGGUGGGAAGAAUCACUUGAAUCUGGGAGGUGGAGGUUGCAGUGAGCUGAGAUCACGCCACUGCACUCCAGCCUGGGAAACAGAGCGAGACUCUGUCUCAAAAAAAAAAAAAAAAAAAAAAAAAAAGAAUUUAUUGGGUCAGUUUGAGGCAAUGCCUGUAUGCCUGUAAGUACUCAACACAGUGCCUGGUACACGGAAAAAAGUCAGUCUUCACUGCCUAUUACUCUCAUUAAACUACGAGGGCCACCUGCCAUCAUUUCACAGAGCAGCUCAGGACGCAGUACACAAAUUUCCAAGCCUUAGGUGAAGUAAUUUCCACCGAGACACCUAGGGCUUCCCCAUUCAACUCUCAUCUGCUGGCUUCUGAGGUUGUCCCUUUCUGCGUGAUAGAGGAUCUUGAAGUGAGCAGUCAAGGGAAUAUGUCUGCAUACCCCAACUGACUUGGUCAUGUAUUACCAAAGCCCAGGCUGGUAACUCCAGAAUACACUGUGGCUACUGGGAUGACUGAUGAUUUGCAUUUCAAAUGGAGCAGCAUUUGAAUGCUACCACAUUUAUAAAAGGAUGGUGCAGGCCUUUUUUUUCGCCCCCUGAACACAUGCUUUUUCUCCAUCAUUCAUUACUGUCUGUCUUUUCUACUAGAAUGUAAGAUCCAUGAGGGGGAGGAACCUUAAAUAAUUGGUUUACCACUGGUAACCCCAAUGCCUACACAGUAGAUUCUGAAUAAAGUUUUGUGAACUAAAUGAAUGAAUGAAUGAAGUCAGACCUAGCUGAUAAGCCUGAACCUAUCUCCUUUCAUUUAGAUCUCAUUGGCAACUGAGAUACCAGCCAUUCUUAAAGAACAGGCAGAGGGAGAAACUAAUACUGUAGGUCAUAGGUCCCAGGUGCCAUGUUUCACUGCGUUCUGUCAUUUAAACAUCACAACUGAUUAUCAUCAUCUCCAUUUUACUGGUAAAGAACCUGAGGAGUAGAGAAGUUAACUGCCUACUGCCACACAACCUAAAAAGGCCAGAUAUAAAAUAUCUUUAAAAACUUUUAAUUUUAAUUUAAUUUUAUUAUUUUUGAGACAGAGUCUCACUCUGUUGCCCAGGCUGGAGUGCAGUGGUGUGAUCUCAGCUCACUGCAAUUUCUGCCUCCCAGGUUCAAGUGAUUCUCCUAGCUCAGCCUCCUGAGUAGCUGGGACUACAGGCACGUGCCACCAUGCCCAGCUAAUUUUUGUGUUUUUAGUAGAGACAGGGUUUCACCCUGUUGGCCAGGCUGGUCUCAAACUCCUGACCUCAGGUGAUCCACCCACCUCGGCUUCCCAAAGUGCUGAGAUUACAGGCGUGAGCCACUGUGCCCAGCCAAUUUGUUUUUUAAUUGAUACAUAAUAUUUUUACAUCAUUAUGGGGUACAUGCAAUAUUUUGUUAUAUGCACAGAAUGUGUAAUGAUCAAGUCAGAGGAUUUAGGGUAUCCAUCACCUGGAGUAUUUAUCAUUUCUAUAUGCUGGGGACAUUUCAAAUCCUCUCUUUUAGCUAUUUUGAAAUAUACAAUACAUUAUUGUUAGCUAUAGUCAGGAUCCUAACUCAGCUGUAUCUCGGGUCUGUCUGACCUCAAGGCCUAUGUUUGUUCAAAUGCCAAGAAGUCUUUCUUCAUUUUCCAUAGUGGAUUUGCACUUUCCUUCUUUUGAUCUUUCAAUUACAGUUAUUUUUUCAUAUCUCUCCUGUUGAAUUGUAAACUGCUUAAGGGCAGAGACUACAUUUUAUUAAUCUCUGCAUCCCUGUAUAAUGCCUAGUAUGACGCCUGGAGGAAAGCAAAUAACCAACAAUAUUUACUGAAUGGAAUGGAACUGAGUCUAGGAUCACAAGGUGUAACAGAAAAGGGACAUCCAUGUGUGAGCUGUGUCAAGCACGAGAGAGUUAUUUUCAACAAACCUGGAAUGUCUACUUCCCCCAGUGACACACUACUGGGCAAUGCUCACCUGUCUCUGUUCUUGACGGACAGGUUCUGCUCCACUCCUUCCAUUAGGUUUCUGAAGCACUGGGCAAGGACCUCCUGCUUGGGGAGGGGCUGGCUGUUUAUCAAACUUGCUCUCAGUUCACUGAAAUACUGAUGGGAGACAGAAUAGUGUCAGAGCUCCGACUCCAAGUCCCGCCUGAAGACAGCUGGCAGGGGAUGGAUAGAGCAGCUCUCAUCUACUCAGGGCUCACUAAUGCUCAGAGGAGUUUUUGUCUAGGUCCACUUUGAACUUUAAGCCCUUAGAGAAAAUCCAUGCCAUAGAGACACUCCUAGUUAUCAAUUCUAUGAUGCCUUCCAUAAAAUGUCUUGCUGUAAUUGUUCUAGUGUCACUGCUUAGGCUGAUGAAGUCCUUGCCUCCUCUGUGGGGGACUGAAUGCAUGCUUUUCCUGACUCUCAUCUCUACUAACCACAGAAAGACUGAAAUGGGAGGGGCCCCCAGACUGAAGAAAAUAACUAAAAAUGCCCAGGGAGCAUUUUAAGUGACUGAAGGCAAGGCCAAGGGUCUUUCCUCAGGCCUUAUCAUCUUUCCUGGCUUCAGUGAGUCACUCCUUAAAUGACUUUGGGCUUUUUUCCAAGUCUCUGUCCUUGGGGGUUAGAAUGGGUUUACUCCUCUGAGGUGGGGUACUAGAGGGGCGUGCUUUAGUUUGGGGAGAGCUUUGUGGCACUAAGGAAAAUGUCUGUCAGGCCUGCUCACAAACACCUGCACAGCCUUUUCUUCUCUGCUGAGGACUGUGGGCUUUUAUACACACACAAGUUCUGAUACUAAACACAGCUCCUAAUCAUUGGAAACAGCCUAAUUUCAGCACAAAGACAACAUUUUGCCAGUCAUGCAUUUAUUCUUCCCAGCCCCAAAAGCAUGAUAUUUAAUUUCCAUCAUACAUUAAAACAGCUUACAUCAAAAAACACACAUAAUUAAUAUGUAGUCAGACUAAUACUUAAAUACUAUAUAUCAGAGGCAUUAUACUUAAACCACAAUGUCUUACUGAACAAGAUUGGGAAUGCACAAAACUACUUAUUUUUCCCUUUUAUAAUGAUGCAGUGACUCACACCAAAUAGAAAAUUAUUAGUUUUUCAUCCUAAACUGUGAAAUAUUGCCUCCAUCAGUAAAGUAUAAUAUUGUGAUGUCAUAAGCUUUUUCUAAACACUGAAUUUGCCCUUAUUCCCUCUCAAUCAUUUUAAAAGAACUGCUCUCUUUUAUAGAGCUUGGAUUUAAAUCACAAUAACACCGAGGGAAGAUGAAUGACAGUGCUACUGAAUGUGGCUAAAAUUGGAUACUUCAGCACAGGGACCACCUCCCGUGACUUCCUGCAAUCACACUCACCUUCUCAUUGAGCAGGAUGAGCCCCAGGAGAGGCCUGGAUACUGACCACUGGUUCCGACAGUCUUCAAAGACAAUGGUGUUCAUGAGGACAGACAUCAUCUAGAAGAUAGAAUCACAUAAAGAUUGAGAUGCCUUGUCUCAGAGUUCCCCCUAAUCCCAGGCCUUUCAUGUGCUCAGAUUCCACCCCUCCAUCUUGCUAACAGCUAUGAAAGCUCUUUCUGGACAAACGGACUAGACUCUGGAAGCUUAUAAGGCUGCCUGUAGAAACUGUUGGCAAAGACCCCCAGCUAGCUCCCUGUGGAAGAGCUUCUACCUCUGAAAGCCUUGGUGAGAACAUUCCAGAUGGGCAUAAGUCAAGAGGUCACUGGGCCAAGAUGAUCAGUCCCUGCCUCUCAACCCUGAUAUGCUUUCCUCUAUGCUAGGGCACCAGGCAAAAGCUCAGCUCACCUUCCUGUCUGCCUCCUAUUUCACCUAAGAGGUUAUGUUAUAGAGAGAUGAAAUCUCUCCAUGGCCCCUCUUGGAGAGAGGGAGGGGAAUGGGACACAUUCCAUGUGAUCCUGGAACAUCAUGUUUCCUGCUGGCUUAGGCUGUUCGAGGUUUCUCUUCACUCUUCGUUCACUAAUUCCCUCACUCACUCAUUCAUUCCUACAUGUACAUUACUCAUCCGUUCUCUUAAAUUCAGCCUGUAAGAUCCAUAGGGGAGAUAAGAUUAUACAGGCAUUUACCACAACCUCUGACAUUAAGUAGUUUGAAACCUCCUGGGGGAGACUACUUAGGAGAGAAAUAACAGGAAAUAGGGCUGGGCAAAGUGCAGUGGGCAUGCGAGGAGGCAGGGAUGACUCUGGGUCCUUGAGGAGAAGUCAGGGAAGACUGCACGGAGAAGGUAACAUUUAAAGAGUUCAUUAUAAAUGUGUUCUAAGCAAAGAAGGCAUCAAAAAAGGAGGGUGGGGAUGCACACAAAGGGUUCUGCCAUGGUAAGAAACUUAGCAUGACAGGAGAGAAGAGAGGUGGGCCAGAGGUGAGACGCCAGUGCCAGACUGGAAGACCCUGCUGAGGAAUCUGGAUUUCAUCCUGAUGGUAGUGGGGAGCUAGUGAUAUGUUUGCAGCACAGAUGAGACAUGCUCUGAUUUGCAUUUAAGAAAGAUCUCUUUGGGGACAUGUAGAAUGUGUACUGUGCAGGUGAAACUAAAGGAGAAAGACCAGGGAUGAGGCUGCUGCGAUAGUCCAGGCAAGUGGCUGUGAAACAGGUUUCUGUCAUUCAUGUGGAGCUGAUGAUAGUUUCUGCUUCUUGGACUCUUUACCUCCUACCUCUAAGCUCUUCUGUUCCCACAGCUCCAGAACUCCUUUCCCCAAAAGAGGGCAGGGGAAACGGCAAUUACGUGGCAAAGACCACUGCACACACCAUCCCUUACUGGGCUUUGGUGGCCUGGCUUGUUUGGAACACAGUUGGUUUUGUCCUCUGGUAUUUUUUGAAAUCCAAUUUAUCCUGUGAUCUCAGGCAAGUUACUGAACUUCUCUCUGUGUCUCAGUUUCAUUAACUAUAAGGAGGGAAAUAAUAAUCCAGCACAAGGAAGCUCUGAGAAUCAAAUGAGAUAGUGUACAUAAAAUGCAUUGCAAAGAGUAAAAAGUGCUAUAAACAUUUAAGGGAUAUAGUAACAGCAAUGAGCUUCUUUGCCGUUCUAAACGUCUGCCAUUCUAUACAUCAUCAUAUCAAUUAGGCUGGUUGCAAAUGAAAUCUGCCAAUUGCAUAUUUAUGGUAUGUCCAGUCUCUCUGGGGAGAGGACUUAAGCUUGGGAUGUUGAACAUCAUUUGCAGAUCACGAGUUUCCAUGUACAAUCUAACAAGCCACCCAAAGUCAUAGAGCCACAAAUUAAACUGACAAGCAAAACUAACAGAUCCAUCUAGACAGUCUAAAAUAUUAUGGGCUUCACAAUCUGAAGGCAGAACGGAUAUUUUAAUGGAAAAGAUUAAAGUUAGAGGCAUCAAAUUCCUCCAGUAACUGAAAAAGCAUCUUGAAGUGAUGUGCCAAUUACUUUAUAUGGUUCUCCUGUGUAUUCAUUUGUCUGAAUGCAUGUAUUUAUGUCUGUAAUAAGUAAGGAUAUGUUUGAAUAAAACACUUUUCUAAAAAUAAACUGUGCUAAAAUGGGUGAUUUUUUUUUCUUUUUUAUUCUUUUGGAAAUACGAAAAUU
rnacentral:lncRNA from 1 species